rnacentral:rRNA from 1 species
UUGAAAGGGAAACGAUUGAAGUCAGUCGUACCAGCGGGAAAUCAACCUUUCGAGUGGGNUUUUGGAGUUUUUUGAAGAGUGUCAAAACCUUUAUUUCAAAAUAUUCGCUCUUUUGGUGUACUUUCUCGUGGGUAGGUUGACAUCGAUUUUGAUCAUCAUAAAAAGAUUGGAGGAAUGUAGCUUCGAUCUUGUAUUGAAGUGUUAUAGCCUUUGGUAAAUGUGAUGAUUAGGAUCGAGGAUUGCAACGAAUACCCUUUUGGGCUAUCCGCCUGAUCUCUGAUACGUGGCCUUGGUAUCGAAAGCGUGCUUAUGGUAUUGAGGUAUUACGGUCAAAAGGUUAGAACGGAUUACAUUCGUUAAGGAUGUUGACGUA